GACGAACGCUGGCGGCGUGCCUAAUACAUGCAAGUCGAGCGAGCGGAACUAACAGAUUUACUUCGGUAAUGACGUUAGGAAAGCGAGCGGCGGAUGGGUGAGUAACACGUGGGGAACCUGCCCCAUAGUCUGGGAUACCACUUGGAAACAGGUGCUAAUACCGGAUAAGAAAGCAGAUCGCAUGAUCAGCUUUUAAAAGGCGGCGUAAGCUGUCGCUAUGGGAUGGCCCCGCGGUGCAUUAGCUAGUUGGUAAGGUAAAGGCUUACCAAGGCGAUGAUGCAUAGCCGAGUUGAGAGACUGAUCGGCCACAUUGGGACUGAGACACGGCCCAAACUCCUACGGGAGGCAGCAGUAGGGAGUCUUCCACAAUGGACGCAAGUCUGAUGGAGCAACGCCGCGUGAGUGAAGAAGGUUUUCGGAUCGUAAAGCUCUGUUGUUGGUGAAGAAGGAUAGAGGUAGUAACUGGCCUUUAUUUGACGGUAAUCAACCAGAAAGUCACGGCUAACUACGUGCCAGCAGCCGCGGUAAUACGUAGGUGGCAAGCGUUGUCCGGAUUUAUUGGGCGUAAAGCGAGCGCAGGCGGAAGAAUAAGUCUGAUGUGAAAGCCCUCGGCUUAACCGAGGAACUGCAUCGGAAACUGUUUUUCUUGAGUGCAGAAGAGGAGAGUGGAACUCCAUGUGUAGCUGUGGAAUGCGUAGAUAUAUGGAAGAACACCAGUGGCGAAGGCGGCUCUCUGGUCUGCAACUGACGCUGAGGCUCGAAAGCAUGGGUAGCGAACAGGAUUAGAUACCCUGGUAGUCCAUGCCGUAAACGAUGAGUGCUAAGUGUUGGGAGGUUUCCGCCUCUCAGUGCUGCAGCUAGCGCAUUAAGCACUCCGCCUGGGGAGUACGACCGCAAGGUUGAAACUCAAAGGAAUUGACGGGGGCCCGCACAAGCGGUGGAGCAUGUGGUUUAAUUCGAAGCAACGCGAAGAACCUUACCAGGUCUUGACAUCUAGUGCCAUUUGUAGAGAUACAAAGUUCCCUUCGGGGACGCUAAGACAGGUGGUGCAUGGCUGUCGUCAGCUCGUGUCGUGAGAUGUUGGGUUAAGUCCCGCAACGAGCGCAACCCUUGUUAUUAGUUGCCAGCAUUAAGUUGGGCACUCUAAUGAGACUGCCGGUGACAAACCGGAGGAAGGUGGGGAUGACGUCAAGUCAUCACGCCCCUUAUGACCUGGGCUACACACGUGCUACAAUGGGCAGUACAACGAGAAGCGAGCCUGCGAAGGCAAGCGAAUCUCUGAAAGCUGUUUUCAGUUCGGACUGCAGUCUGCAACUCGACUGCACGAAGCUGGAAUCGCUAGUAAUCGCGGAUCAGCACGCCGCGGUGAAUACGUUCCCGGGCCU
rnacentral:rRNA from 1 species